rnacentral:rRNA from 1 species
GGAGGGUGCAAGCGUUAUCCGGAUUCACUGGGUUUAAAGGGUGCGUAGGUGGGUUGGUAAGUCAGUGGUGAAAUCUCCGAGCUUAACUUGGAAACUGCCAUUGAUACUAUCAGUCUUGAAUACCGUGGAGGUCAGCGGAAUAUGUCAUGUAGCGGUGAAAUGCUUAGAUAUGACAUAGAACACCAAUUGCGAAGGCAGCUGACUACGCGAAUAUUGACACUGAUGCACGAAAGCGUGGGGAUCAAACAGGAUUAGAUACCCUGGUAGUCCACGCCCUAAACGAUGGAUACUCGACAUACGCGAUACACUGUGUGUGUCUGAGCGAAAGCAUUAAGUAUCCCACCUGGGAAGUACGAUCGCAAGAUUG